GACGAACGCUGGCGGCGUGCUUAACACAUGCAAGUCGAGCGGUAAGGCCUUUCGGGGUCCACGAGCGGCGAACGGGCGAGUAACACGUUGGUGAUUUGCUCUGCACUCUGUGAUAAGCCUGGGACACUGGGAAUAAUACCCUAUAUGCCCUCCUAUCUCAUGGUGGGUGGGGUCAAGAUUUAUCGGUGCUGGAUGGGCCCGCUGUCUAUCAGCUUGUAAUUGGUGUACUGGCAUACCAAGGCGACGACGGCUAGCCGACCUGAGAGCGUGACCAGGCACACUGGGACUGAGACACGGCCCAGAAUGCUACGGGAGGCAGCAGUGGGGAGUAUUGCGCAAUGGGCGAGAGCCUGAUGCAGCGACGCCGCGUGAGUGAUAACGGCCUUCGAGUUAUGAACAUCUUUCUACGGAGACGAGGCGAAAGUGACGGUACCUACAGAGAAAGCAACGGCUAACUACGUG
rnacentral:rRNA from 1 species